rnacentral:rRNA from 1 species
UACGGGAGGCAGCAGUGGGGAAUAUUGCACAAUGGGCGCAAGCCUGAUGCAGCCAUGCCGCGUGUAUGAAAAAGGCCUUCGGGUUGUAAAGUACUUUCAGUCGUGAGGAAGGUGUUAAGGUUAAUAACCUUAGCAAUUGACGUUAGCGACAGAAGAAGCACCGGCUAACUCCGUGCCAGCAGCCGCGGUAAUACGGAGGGUGCGAGCGUUAAUCGGAAUUACUGGGCGUAAAGGGCACGCAGGCGGUUAAUUAAGUUGGAUGUGAAAUCCCCGGGCUUAACCUGGGAAUGGCAUUCAAGACUGGUUAGCUAGAGUCUUGUAGAGGGGGUAGAAUUCCAUGUGUAGCGGUGAAAUGCGUAGAGAUGUGGAGGAAUACCGGUGGCGAAGGCGGCCCCUGGACAAGACUGGCGCUCAUGUGCGAAAGCGUGGGGAGCAAACAGGGAUUAGAUACC